CUCUGUUGUUUGAAUACUUGGUUUAAGCUAUGAAACUGAGAUAGUUAUUUUUGGUUUGUAGGGGGAUCUUGGGACAGAGUACUUAGUGAGGCCAGUUGGUAGAGCUGAAGAUGAGGAGGAUGCAAGUGAUUUUGAGCCGGAAGAGAAUGGUGUGGAAGAGGAUAUAGACGAAGGAGAAGACGAUGAGAAUGAUAACUCGGGUGGUGCUGGGAAGUCAGAGGCUCCGCCGAAGAGGAAGAGAGCUCCUGAAGAAGAUGAAGAGGAUAGUGGUGAUGAAGAUGAUGACAGACCUCCAAAGA
rnacentral:sRNA from 1 species